GGCGGACGGGUGAGUAACACGUGGAUAACCUACCUAUAAGACUGGGAUAACUUCGGGAAACCGGAGCUAAUACCGGAUAAUAUAUUGAACCGCAUGGUUCAAUAGUGAAAGACGGUUUUGCUGUCACUUAUAGAUGGAUCCGCGCCGCAUUAGCUAGUUGGUAAGGUAACGGCUUACCAAGGCAACGAUGCGUAGCCGACCUGAGAGGGUGAUCGGCCACACUGGAACUGAGACACGGUCCAGACUCCUACGGGAGGCAGCAGUAGGGAAUCUUCCGCAAUGGGCGAAAGCUUGACGGAGCAACGCCGCGUGAGUGAUGAAGGUCUUCGGAUCGUAAAACUCUGUUAUUAGGGAAGAACAAAUGUGUAAGUAACUAUGCACGUCUUGACGGUACCUAAUCAGAAAGCCACGGCUAACUACGUGCCAGCAGCCGCGGUAAUACGUAGGUGGCAAGCGUUAUCCGGAAUUAUUGGGCGUAAAGCGCGCGUAGGCGGUUUUUUAAGUCUGAUGUGAAAGCCCACGGCUCAACCGUGGAGGGUCAUUGGAAACUGGAAAACUUGAGUGCAGAAGAGGAAAGUGGAAUUCCAUGUGUA
rnacentral:rRNA from 1 species